GUGGGGAAUAUUGGACAAUGGGCGAAAGCCUGAUCCAGCAAUGCCGCGUGAGUGAUGAAGGCCUUAGGGUUGUAAAGCUCUUUUACCAGGGAUGAUAAUGACAGUACCUGGAGAAUAAGCUCCGGCUAACUCCGUGCCAGCAGCCGCGGUAAUACGGAGGGAGCUAGCGUUGUUCGGAAUUACUGGGCGUAAAGCGCACGUAGGCGGUUACUCAAGUCAGAGGUGAAAGCCCGGGGCUCAACCCCGGAACUGCCUUUGAAACUAGGUAGCUAGAAUCCUGGAGAGGUGAGUGGAAUUCCGAGUGUAGAGGUGAAAUUCGUAGAUAUUCGGAAGAACACCAGUGGCGAAGGCGGCUCACUGGACAGGUAUUGACGCUGAGGUGCGAAAGCGUGGGGAGCAAACAGGAUUAGAAACCCCAGUAGUCC
rnacentral:rRNA from 1 species